rfam:Parcubacteria group bacterium CG1_02_39_15 cg1_0.2_scaffold_6295_c, whole genome shotgun sequence.
UGCCGGGUCGUCUAACGGUAGGACUCCAGGUUUUGGUCCUGGCUAUUGGGGUUCGAAUCCCUACCCGGCAG